UGGAGCAUGUGGUUUAAUUCGAAGCAACGCGCAGAACCUUACCAGGUCUUGACAUCCCCUGACAGCCUCAGAGAUGAGGUGUUCUGGUUUCCAGACAGGGAGACAGGUGUUGCAUGGUUGUCGUCAGCUCGUGUCGUGAGAUGUUGGGUUAAGUCCCGCAACGAGCGCAACCCCCGUUCUGUGUUGCCAGCGUAAAGUCGGGCACUCACAGGAGACUGCCGGAGACAAUUCGGAGGAAGGUGGGGAUGACGUCAAAUCCUCAUGGCCCUUAUGACCUGGGCUACACACGCGCUACAAUGGCCUGUACAGAGGGAAGCGAAAGAGCGAUCUGAAGCGAAUCUCACAAAACAGGUCUCAGUUCGGAUUGCAGGCUGAAACCCGCCUGCAUGAAGCCGGAAUUGCUAGUAAUCGCAGAUCAGCUACGCUGCGGUGAAUACGUUCUCGGGCCUU
rnacentral:rRNA from 2 species